AUUGAACGCUGGCGGCAGGCCUAACACAUGCAAGUCGAGCGGAUGAAGGGAGCUCGCUCCUGGCUUCAGCGGCGGACGGGCGAGUAAUGCCUAGGAAUCUGCCUUGUAGUGGGGGAUAACGUCCGGAAACGGGCGCUAAUACCGCAUACGUCCUGAGGGAGAAAGUGGUGGAUCUUCGGACCUCACGCUACCUGCUGAGCCUAGGUCGGAUUAGCUAGUUGGUGGGGUAAAGGCUUACCAAGGCGACGAUCCGUAACUGGUCUGAGAGGAUGAUCAGUCACACUGGAACUGAGACACGGUCCAGACUCCUACGGGAGGCAGCAGUGGGGAAUAUUGGACAAUGGGCGAAAGCCUGAUCCAGCCAUGCCGCGUGUGUGAAGAAGGUCUUCGGAUUGUAAAGCACUGUUAGUUGGGAGGAAGGGCAGUAAGUGAAUACCUUGCUGUCUUGACGUUACCAACAGAGUAAGCACCGGCUAACUUCGUG
rnacentral:rRNA from 1 species